UCUUUUUCUCCCUCUCUCUUUGAUUAUCAUGAUCUUCUUCUUCUCCGUCUCAAAAUAUAUCCCGUUCUCUCUCCUCACCUCCUCACACACCUCUUCUGCUCACCAGAACUCAACCAUAUGUAUCUACUUCUCACUAGAAAUCGACCCUCUCAUCUUCUUUCUCAUCUACAUAUAUUUGGAAUUUAAUGUACAGAAGGGUUUGCAAUUGAGAAGGUCAAUGUUAAGUCAUCAACUUUUUUGAUUUUAGGCACCGAUGGGGUUCUUUGAAUUCCAAUUACCCUAAUUUUGGUACCUUAUCUGUAGAGUAUCACGUUCUUCCCCACCAGAAGAACAUAAAUUUGGGUUCUUUCAUCUAGAAACCUAACAAAAAAUUCUGACCCCCACCGGCCCAUUCGCUUCCUCUAAUGAAUACGUACCACCACCAUCGUCGCUGAUGUUAACCCUAAAAGCGUUCAUAUCAGAUAUGAAAGAAGAGUCAGCAUCGUCGCCAUGACCUGUUACAAUACACCCGAUCACGUCGUCGAGAAGGAAAGAUGCUUCAAACUUAUGGUUGAAGUCAACAACCUCAUAAAUUCCGACUCAUCAAUUUUUCUCCCUGUCUCCAUCGUCUCUGAUGAAAGAGGUUCACCAGGAGGCAUAUGAAUCCACCCUCACAUCAGAUUGACCCCUGAAAUCCUCACGCUUGAGAUCUUCACCCAAAUCACCAGGACAAAGAAUUGGAUUCUCAAUAGGUAAUUGCUUUGAUGCAUCAUAUCCUAGGGAUAACCUUUUGACUGAUACUACUAAUGAAUGGGGUGACCGGUUAAUGCUUGAAACCAUAGCUCUUGGGGCUGCUCAGGUACAUCACUAUGUACCAAAACAUAUGUAAAUAAUAAAAAAACAUUAUUCUUUUUUAAAGUAUGAUGUUGUUAUAAAUAAAUUAAAACAAAUAUUCGUAAAUGGUCCUUGUCGUUUGGUUUCUAUGAUGCAAAGAAGAACAUACAAGUGAGUUGACUUUCUUUUUAUAUCUAAUCAUUAUAAUUCCACCUCAAACAUGAUUGUUUUUUUUCUUUUUUUUGAAUUCUGAUCCUCUAAAACUGUAUGAUGUUAAUUUGACUUAAUGAAAUUAUUUAGAUUUUAAUAUUAACUAGGUUUUACCAGGUUAAUUGUCAUUGGCUCAAGCAAUUGUUUUUAUAAAUACGACCGGGUCAUUCCGAAUGGUAAAUAGGCAAAGACCCGCUUCUACUUGGUCCUGUCUCUUUAAUGGGCCACGAUGUAAUCGGUUCAACUGAACAUGACGAUUUGGAUUUUAAAACACCGAUAAUUGUAAAUAAUUUUUUUUUAUAAUAUAACAUAAAUAUUUUCAAUUUAAUAUGAUAUAAAAUUACAAAUAUUCCCUCCCAUUGUAUGUUCUGGGUUUUGGUUUAAGGUAACAGUAAUCAAUUUUUAAAAACAUAAAAGGACGGGUAGUUUGAUUUUGGAUCAACAAGAAAUGUAAUUUACUCAAUAUAAAGUCAUAUCUAUAGACGUCGGAUCAAAUUCCACAAAACCAUUUUUUCGGUUUAAUCAUUGAAAAAAGUUAAGGAAAAAAAAUUCUAAAUGCAGGUACUAAUCUUUCAGAAUCGGUUUUCUCAAACAACUUUAUGUUGUAUUAUCUUAAGGGAGAUUUUCACAUGACCAACUUUAUAUUGUAUUAUCUUAAGGGAGACCAACUUUAUGUCGUAUUAUCUUAGUGGACGGUGACGAACAAUUCAACGAUAA